rnacentral:rRNA from 1 species
UAAUACCGCAUGUGCUCUUCGGAGUAAAGCUACGGCGGUUUGGGAACGGCCUGCGCAUGAUUAGUUUGUUGGUGAGGUAAUGGCUCACCAAGACUACGAUCAUUAGCUGGUCUGAGAGGAUGAUCAGCCAGACUGGGACUGAGACACGGCCCAGACUCCUACGGGAGGCAGCAGUAGGGAAUUUUCCACAAUGGGCGAAAGCCUGAUGGAGCAACGCCGCGUGCAGGAUGAAGGCCUUCGGGUUGUAAACUGCUUUUAUAUGUGAAGAAUAUGACGGUAGCAUAUGAAUAAGGAUCGGCUAACUCCGUGCCAGCAGCCGCGGUCAUACGGAGGAUCCAAGCGUUAUCCGGAAUUACUGGGCGUAAAGAGUUGCGUAGGUGGCAUAGUAAGCAGAUAGUGAAAGCGUGUGGCUCAACCAUACUCACAUUAUCUGAACUGCUAAGCUAGAGAACGAGAGAGGUAGAUGGAAUUCCCUGUGUAGGAGUGAAAUCCGUAGAUAUAGGGAGGAACACCGAUGGCGUAGGCAGUCUACUGGCUCGUUUCUGACACUAAGGCACGAAAGCGUGGGUAGCAAACGGGAUUAGAUACCCCGGUAGUCCACGCCGUAAACUAUGGAUGCUAGCUGUAAGAAGUAUCGACCCUUCUUGUAGCGAAGCUAACGCGUUAAGCAUCCCGCCUGUGGAGUACGAGCGCAAGCUUAAAACAUAAAGGAAUUGACGGGGACCCGCACAAGCGGUGGAGCGUGUUGUUUAAU